UCGAGCGGCAGCGAGAAGAAACUUGUUUUCUUUGUCGGCGAGCGGCGGACGGGUGAGUAAUGGUUGGGAACCUGGCCUAACGAGGGGGAUAACAGUUGGAAACGACUGCUAAUACCGCAUGACGUCUACGGACCAAAGAAGGGGAUCUUCGGACCUUUCGCGUUAGGAUGGGCCCAAUUGGGAUUAGCUAGUUGGUGAGGUAAUGGCUCACCAAGGCGACGAUCUCUAGCUGGUUUGAGAGGAUGAUCAGCCACACUGGAACUGAGACACGGUCCAGACUCCUACGGGAGGCAGCAGUGGGGAAUAUUGCACAAUGGGCGCAAGCCUGAUGCAGCCAUGCCGCGUGUAUGAAGAAGGCCUUCGGGUUGUAAAGUACUUUCAGCGAGGAGGAAGGUAGCGUAGUUAAUACCUGCGUUAUUUGACGUUACUCGCAGAAGAAGCACCGGCUAACUCCGUGCCAGCAGCCGCGGUAAUACGGAGGGUGCGAGCGUUAAUCGGAAUUACUGGGCGUAAAGCGCAUGCAGGCGGUUUGUUAAGUUAGAUGUGAAAGCCCCGGGCUUAACCUGGGAAUUGCAUUUAAGACUGG
rnacentral:rRNA from 1 species